UGAUCUGCGAGGCCACAGUCGAUCCGUGUUGUGUGCAGCCCACUGCCUAUUCAACUCCCCCUCCUGCAGCUUCUGCUGUUAACUGUUUGUUUACUGCCAUUCCUAUAGCCAGGGCCCAGGGUGGGAGCACAGGAACUGAUACUGUAUGUGGUGGGAGUCAUCAGCCCUAGGGAUUGUGUCAGUGCACCUGAUUUAUUUAUGUAACACACCAGACCCCCGCAUGUUCUGCAUACACACACAGUAAUUAAAGGGCUGCUGUAGCUGGGCCUGGCACUGCAGGGUUAACUUCCCCCUUCAUCUGCUUCAGACAGUGUGCUGGGAGAUGAGGAUCUGAAGAUGGAAGACGAUCUGAUUGGAUAGUAUGGGGGCAGGUGGAAGGUGUACUGUGCCUUGCUGAACACUGUCUGCAAGUGCAGCAGGAAAAGUCCCAUCCAGGAAGAGAUGUCCAGGGACAAGCGGCCCCGAUCCCCCCUUCCCCCCACCCCUCAGAAGAACUUUCCCUGCAUAGCAAUGAGGAGUGGGAGCCGACCCAGGAGGAGGAUACGACCGACCAGGCAUGCAGUGACCAGCCGCGGUCGUCAAGGGACCAAAUGGAGAAGUCAAAGAAAAAGACAAAGCCUAGAAAGGCAAGAAGCCAGCCAGAGGAGCAGUCGGAGGAGGAAGCCUCUGGUGAAGACGCAGGACCGAAGAAGCCACGUGGACCCAGAUACACUGAGGCAGAAAACUGUGCCCUAGUGGAUGGCAUCGACAGGUCCUACGACAUUCUGUAUGGACCAAGGGCACAGACCACAGCAGCUAAGACCAAGCAAAACAUCUGGGAUGCCAUCGCGAGACAAGUCACUGCAGUAUCUGGAAACCGCCGGAGCAUCAGAAACUGCAUGAAGCGGUACAGUGAUUGCCGCAGACAGACCAAGAAGAAGAUGGGGAUUCAGCGCCGACAUGAGACAGCUACGGGAGGUGGUCCGGCUCUCAAUCUGAAGUGGCUACCCUGGGUGGAAGUUAUCAAAAGGCGCAUGAACCCUGCCAUGGUCCAAGGAGUUCGCGGAGGUGUGGACUCUAGCCGUCUGCUGGCUUUCCCGAGGAAGAAGAACCGCCCAGAAGACGGAAGACAGCGGGAGACAAGCAGUCCAAAAGGAGGCCUGAUGACACGCCUGCCCAGAGGACAUCACCUGCGCGCAGGAGAUAGGCAGCAGCGCGCGGACCAUCACCUGUGCAGCAAUCAUCACCUGCACGCCACACAUCGUCAGCGCGCAGAAAGUCACCUGCGCGCCAGACAUCGUCAGCACGCAGACCAUCACCUGCGCGCCAGACAUCAGCGCACAGAACAUCACGUCGGCGACCACACCACCAGCUGGGCGCCAAACUACAUCUCCUGCGCGUAGGCCAUCACCAGCUCGUCAUCUCUCCAGGAGCUCUGGGACUGUGACCAAAGAGCCUCAACAAGACACUACCCUUGUGGACCCAUCACCCGAACUGUUUGAGUCUACAGGGUUAACGGACAAAACUUUUCUUGGGUUUGAAGACAGCCGUGCAGAAGUAUCCAGCCAGACCCUUGAAAAGUCUCCAGAAUUGAGGACAAGUGAAGCUCCUGGAGCAGCGGCACCACCGGAUGGAGAAGGAUUUUAUUUUUUUUAUUUUUUGGGGGGGGGCGCCAUUUUGUAUAGUUUAUUAAGUUUAAUUUUUUGUUUUCUUUUGCAAACAGAGGUGCCACGGACCAGCAGCGGACUUGCAUCGGGGAUUGGUCCCUGCUUCAGGCCGGAUCUCCUACAGGAUUCGUCGGACGACGAGGUGGAAGUGCAGCAGCCUGCUGUUUCUACAUCCAUGUCUGCACAAAUGCAAUUGGUGGCAGACGUACAGGAAGGGCAGGAUCCCUCAAAUCUUCAGAGGGUACACACCCUGGCAGCCGAGAUGACUUCCCUCCAGGAUACUUACACGAAUGUCGUUGGAACCAGACUGGACGCCAUUGAGAAGACAAUGGAGAAGAUGGCAAACGGUCUGGUUGAAAUGCAAAAGGCUCAUGCCGACAGCACGGCCGAAAUGCAAAAGACCAGACGAGAAGAUCACAGGGAGACUAUGGACAUCCUUCACAUUCUGGCCACAUCCAUCAACCGGCUGGUGGAGAACACAUCAUGCCUGGCACACAGCGUUGACAACAUGUCAAAGAGCCAACGACAUUCGGCAUCCAGCCAACAGAUCAUCGCAACCACACUGCAGAUGAUGUAUGAUAAGCUCCCAGAGCCAGCUCAUCAACACUCUGGUGAACCACCACUUCCGCCAUCACAAGCCACACGGACGCCUCCUUCCCUUCCUCCACCACCAUCCUGGUAUGGACGGUCACAGCUGUACCAAGGAUAUACAGGAAUGUACCACACCCACCAGUUGCCUCCACCACCAACACCGGCCGCAUCAUCUACACCCGCACGGCCACCGAUGCCAAGUCAACGCACUCCACAGCAGCCCAGGGCAUUGACGCCCCAUCAGGAGGAAGAAGAGGAUCCAGACGGACAACCACCAUAAGCCCGGUCGUAUUGUUUUAUUAUUUACUCUUAUGUUUUUCAUGUUUCCCUUUCUCCCCCUCCCAUUAGUUUUUAUUUUUCUUAAUAAUAUGUUUGUGUUGGGCUCCCCCACUCUCGACCGGAUACUACCAAGGAGCUUUAUGUCUGGGCAUACAUGCGCAGGCAUGUAUGCGGGCGCGUGUGGUAACGGAUGAAAGCUCCUUGUGGCUACAUGUAUGAUGGGCCAAAGAGCUAUUCUGAUACCACUUUUUUUUUUACCAAAAAAACUCCUUUUUGUAUUGGUGUACAAUAGGCUUUCACUGUUGUGUGAUUUUACUAUUCACUAGUGUUUAUUUUUGGCUUAUUCAUAGGAUUGGGUGGAAAAUUGAAGUGGACGGCGUAGUUCGUGUUGUGCGUACCAAGAUAUCUACACAAGAAAAGAAUGUAAAGAAGAACAAACA